rnacentral:rRNA from 1 species
UGGAGAGGUGAUCCUGGCUCAGAUUGAACGCUGGCGGCAGGCCUAACACAUGCAAGUCGAGCGGAAACGAGUUAUCUGAACCUUCGGGGAACGAUAACGGCGUCGAGCGGCGGACGGGUGAGUAAUGCCUAGGAAAUUGCCCUGAUGUGGGGGAUAACCAUUGGAAACGAUGGCUAAUACCGCAUAAUGCCUACGGGCCAAAGAGGGGGACCUUCGGGCCUCUCGCGUCAGGAUAUGCCUAGGUGGGAUUAGCUAGUUGGUGAGGUAAGGGCUCACCAAGGCGACGAUCCCUAGCUGGUCUGAGAGGAUGAUCAGCCACACUGGAACUGAGACACGGUCCAGACUCCUACGGGAGGCAGCAGUGGGGAAUAUUGCACAAUGGGCGCAAGCCUGAUGCAGCCAUGCCGCGUGUGUGAAGAAGGCCUUCGGGUUGUAAAGCACUUUCAGUCGUGAGGAAGGUAGUGUAGUUAAUAGCUGCAUUAUUUGACGUUAGCGACAGAAGAAGCACCGGCUAACUCCGUGCC